AUUGAACGCUGGCGGCAUGCCUUACACAUGCAAGUCGAACGGUAACGCGGGGCAACCUGGCGACGAGUGGCGAACGGGUGAGUAACGCAUCGGAACGUGCCCAGUAGUGGGGGAUAGCCCGGCGAAAGCCGGAUUAAUACCGCAUACGACCUACGGGUGAAAGAGGGGGAUCGCAAGACCUCUCGCUAUUGGAGCGGCCGAUGUCUGAUUAGGUAGUUGGUGGGGUAAAGGCCUACCAAGCCUACGAUCUGUAGCUGGUCUGAGAGGACGACCAGCCACACUGGGACUGAGACACGGCCCAGACUCCUACGGGAGGCAGCAGUGGGGAAUUUUGGACAAUGGGCGCAAGCCUGAUCCAGCCAUGCCGCGUGCGGGAAGAAGGCCUUCGGGUUGUAAACCGCUUUUGUCAGGGAAGAAACGCUCUGGACUAAUAAUCUGGGGUAAUGACGGUACCUGAAGAAUAAGCACCGGCUAACUACGUGCCAGCAGCCGCCGUAA
rnacentral:rRNA from 1 species